AUGGCACCGAUUUGCCGCAUGGUGUGCUACAACUACACUCCAGGGGAAUAUUUGUUCAGAAUCUUCAGUCUUGUAAUUUUCUACUUGAUGACCUGCUCGCCGCGACCGCCCAAACCCCAGGCCACACUUCCUCUUCCACUCCGCGUACUCCUGGUUGUAGCCCCAGCUCGCCACAGGCAGGGAUCGGCGGCUCGCUGGCGUGGCGCGUGGCAGGGAGAGAAGGGGGGCAAGAUCGGCGAGGCAGAGUUCUUCCGGAAGGACGGCGUGGUGGGCGACAUGGACGGAUACCUCAACUACCUGUCCCUCGAGUAUGACUUCGUCUCGGACACCAAUCCUACUUGGUAA
rnacentral:rRNA from 1 species